UACGAAGGGGGCUAGCGUUGCUCGGAAUCACUGGGCGUAAAGCGCGCGUAGGCGGCUUUGUAAGUUAGAGGUGAAAGCCCGGGGCUCAACCCCGGAACUGCCUUUAAGACUGCAUCGCUUGAAUCCGGGAGAGGUGAGUGGAAUUCCGAGUGUAGAGGUGAAAUUCGUAGAUAUUCGGAAGAACACCAGUGGCGAAGGCGGCUCACUGGACCGGUAUUGACGCUGAGGUGCGAAAGCGUGGGGAGCAAACAGG
rnacentral:rRNA from 1 species